rnacentral:tRNA from 1 species
AUUAAAUUGGCAGAUAAUUAUGUAUUAAAUUUAGAAUUUAAUUAAAUGAUAUUAAUCAUAUUUAAUA